rnacentral:rRNA from 1 species
GGAAAGCUUACCAGGACAAGACAUAAGAAGGAUUGACAGAUUGAUCGCUCUUUCUUGAUUUUAUGGGUGGUGGUGCAUGGCCGUUCUUAGUUCGUGGAGUAAUUUGUCUGGUUAAUUCCGUUAACGAACGAGACCUUAACUGGCUAAUUGGGAUGUAGUAUAUUUCGAAUAUUCUACCCUAUUAGAAGGACCAUGUAUGCAUAAUACAAGGAAGCGUGAGGCAAUAA